rnacentral:rRNA from 1 species
AUUGAACGCUGGCGGCAUGCCUUACACAUGCAAGUCGAACGGUAACGCGGGGCAACCUGGCGACGAGUGGCGAACGGGUGAGUAAUGUAUCGGAACGUGCCCAGUUGUGGGGGAUAACUGCUCGAAAGAGCAGCUAAUACCGCAUACGACCUGAGGGUGAAAGCGGGGGAUCGCAAGACCUCGCGCAAUUGGAGCGGCCGAUAUCAGAUUAGGUAGUUGGUGAGGUAAAGGCUCACCAAGCCGACGAUCUGUAGCUGGUCUGAGAGGACGACCAGCCACACUGGGACUGAGACACGGCCCAGACUCCUACGGGAGGCAGCAGUGGGGAAUUUUGGACAAUGGACGCAAGUCUGAUCCAGCCAUGCCGCGUGCGGGAAGAAGGCCUUCGGGUUGUAAACCGCUUUUGUCAGGGAAGAAACGCUCUGGGUUAAUACCUCGGGGUAAUGACGGUACCUGAAGAAUAAGCACCGGCUAACUACGUGUCAGCAGCCGCAGUAAUAC